rnacentral:misc_RNA from 1 species
UACGUAGGUGGCAAGCGUUGUCCGGAAUUAUUGGGCGUAAAGCGCGCGCAGGCGGCCUUUUAAGUUUGAUGUGAAAGCCCACGGCUUAACCGUGGAGGGGCAUUGGAAACUGGGUGACUUGAGUACAGAAGAGGAGAGUGGAAUUCCACGUGUAGCGGUGAAAUGCGUAGAUAUGCGGAGGAACACCAGUGGCGGAGGCGACUCUCUGGUCUGUAAUUGACGCUGAGGCGCGAAAGCGUGGGGAGCAAACAGG